rnacentral:rRNA from 1 species
CCUACGGGAGGCAGCAGUGGGGAAUAUUGCACAAUGGGGGAAACCCUGAUGCAGCAACGCCGCGUGAGUGAUGAAGGCCUUCGGGUUGUAAAGCUCUGUCUUCAGGGACGAUAAUGACGGUACCUGAGGAGGAAGCCACGGCUAACUACGUGCCAGCAGCCGCGGUAAUACGUAGGUGGCAAGCGUUGUCCGGAUUUACUGGGCGUAAAGGGAGCGUAGGCGGAUAUUUAAGUGGGAUGUGAAAUACCUGGGCUUAACUUGGGUGCUGCAUUCCAAACUGGAUAUCUGGAGUGUUGGAGAGGAAAGUGGAAUUCCUAGUGUAGCGGUGAAAUGCGUAGAGAUUAGGAAGAACACCAGUGGCGAAGGCGACUUUCUGGACAAUAACUGACGCUGAGGCUCGAAAGCGUGGGGAGCAAACAGGAUUAGAUACCCUGGUAGUCCACGCCGUAAACGAUGGGUACUAGGUGUAGGGGGUAUCGGACUCCCCCUGUGCCGCCGUAAACACAAUAAGUACCCCGACCUGGGAGUACGGUCGCAAGAUUAAACUACAAA